GGUACUAGCUAUAAGUAAAUAAAUAAAUUUUAAACAUAGUUACUGUUGUAGGAAGCAACACCCUUAAGGAGAUUUUUUUUGCCAAUUUGCCUGCCUGGCCAGGUGGAAAUACCAUUUGUUUAAAAAGACGUGAACUUACUGAUGAUUUCCAUUUAAAACUAGGCAUAGAUAGUGGAGGUGGAUCUUUAAAAAUUUGUCUGUCUUUAUGUUGUUACGAAAAUCCCGAAAUAAAACAAGAAAAACAUAAAUGUACCGGAAUAAACAAACUUAUUAUAAUAGAAUUGGCUCCCAAAAUAAUAGAAACCUACAAAAAUAACAGAGCAAUGUUUGAGAUUUUGCAACUCUAUACUAUUUGUGGAGUCAGUUCUUACACAUUUGCCGCAGAUCUAAAGUUGAUAAUGAUUAUAUUGGGCCUUCAAUCUUCAUCAUCAUGCCAUCCAUGUGUUUGGUGUGAUGUUAACUCAAAAAUUUACAGUCAAGGGGAGAACUACGAUCCAUAAAAGAUAUUUCCAAAUGGAGUACAUUAUGGAACGAGGAGACAGGUGGAAAUUUAAAAGAAAGAAAAAAGUACAAGAAUUGCGUCAACAUUCCUUUAAUAACUGGUGAUGACGAUCUUCCAAUUAU